UCUCCGUUGGUGAACCAGCGGAGGGAUCAUUACCGAGUUUACAACUCCCAAACCCAAUGUGAUCGUUACCAAACUGUUGCCUCGGCGGGAUCUCUGCCCCGGGUGCGUCGCAGCCCCGGACCAAGGCGCCCGCCGGAGGACCAACCAAAACUCUUUAUGUAUACCCCCUCGCGGGUUUUUUUACAAUCUGAGCCAUCUCGGCGCCCCUCGUGGGCGUUUCGAAAAUGAAUCAAAACUUUCAACAACGGAUCUCUUGGUUCUG
rnacentral:misc_RNA from 1 species